GCGGCUUUAGCUCAGCUGGAAGAGCAAUUGGUUUACACCCAAUAGGUCGGGGGUUCGAUCCCCUCAGGCCGCAC
rnacentral:tRNA from 1 species